AAUAAGGGUGUCCAUUUAACUUGGAACCCGACCUUCUCACAUCUAACCCUGUGCAUCUGUAUAUAAUGGCGAGCAAUUUUCGAAUUGUGAGCCAUUUCACUUUAUAAACACUAGUCUAUGAAUGUAAAAUUUUUAUAACAAUAAAAACUUUCAACAACGGAUCUCUUGGCUCUCGCAUCGAUGAAGAACGCAGCGAAAUGCGAUACGUAAUGUGAAUUGCAGAAUUCAGUGAAUCAUCGAAUCUUUGAACGCAUCUUGCGCUCUCUGGUAUUCCGGAGAGCAUGUCUGUUUGAGUGUCAUGAAUUCUUCAACCCAACUGUUUCUUGUAAACAGCUGGUGUUUGGAUUCUGAGCGCUGCUGGCUUCGUGCCUAGCUCGUUCGUAAUACAUCAGCAUCCCUAAUACAAGUCUGGAUUGACUUGGCGUAAUAGACUAUUCGCUAAGGAUUCAAUGUUCUGCAUUGAGCCAACUUAAUUAAGGAAGCUUCUAAUUGAAAAGUCUACCUUUAGAUUAGAUCUCAAAUCAGGCAGGAUUACCCGCUGAACUUAAGCAUAUCAAAAGCCGGAGGAAGGAUCAUUAGUGAAAAAUAGGGUGUCCAAUUUAACUUGGAACCCGACCUUCUCACAUCUACCCUGUGCAUCUGUAUAUAGGCGAGCAAUUUUAAUUGUGAGCCAUUUCACUUUAUAAACACUAGUCUAUGAAUGUAAAAUUUUUAUAACAAUAAAAACUUUCACAACGGAUCUUGGCUCUGCAUCGAUAAAACACGAAUGCGAUAUAUGUGAAUUGCAAAAUCGUGAAUCACAUCUUGAAGCACUGCGCUCUCUGGUAUUCAAAGUUUUGAGUGAAUUCCGUUGAACUGGUGUUGAUUCUGAGCGCUGCUGCUUCUGCUAUGUUAUACAUCACAUCCUCAACAAGUCUGGAUACUGGCGUAUAACAUUCUAAGAUCAUGAUCUGCAUGAGCACUCAUAGGAAUUAUGAAGUACGUUGGAUAAUUCAAUGGCAGAAACCCUAACUUACAUGAUACGGAGAGAAAA
rnacentral:rRNA from 1 species